rnacentral:rRNA from 1 species
AUCACUCAAUUUAACAGCAAAGAAAAAUUAAAUAUUUUAAAGACACAUGCUAGCAAUAAACGAAAUAGUGAAAAAAAUAUAAUUCAACCAAAUUUAAAAUCCAAAAACUAUAUAACAAAAAUAAAUAAAACUUUACAAAAUAGUCACAUUUCAAUCGAAACAAAACAACAGCAGUGCAAUACAUUAUGCAAUAUACAAACGUAUGACAUUACAAAAUACCCGAACCUCUCGAAAAAAGAACAGUCAAACUAGUGUGCCAGCAGACGCGGUUACACACAUUGUCCCAAUUUUUUCUUCUCAAACAGGAUUAUGCAAAAGAUUAAUAAAUAAAAUAAGAAAAAAAGCAUAUAAAAAAGCAGUAAAAAGCUAAUAUAAGAAACUUUCCCAUAACCAAUUUCUAAAACAUAAACAUCUUUACGCAAAAGUAUAGAAAACAAAGAGGAUUAGAUACCCUCGUAGACUAUACCAUAAAACUACUCCAAAUACAAAAAAAUAACGAACACACCUAACCCAAAAAAUCGCAAGAUUUUCCAAAAAACAAAUUUGAGGGAAUCUAAUAAAAUCAGAGGAGCGUAUAUCUUAAUAUGAAAUUACACAAAAACCUUACCUUAAUCAAAAAAGUGACUCAUAACCGUACAGUAUUACUAUAAAGUUCAACAAAACUCAUACCACAUAGGAAAAACACCGGUCCACAUAUCCUUUAUAUUAAGGGCCGAUAAGCGCCACAAAUUAUUAAACAUAUUAUAACGCCACAUAAAUUGAAACAACCUAUGAAAAGGAGAAUUUGAAAGUAAUCAUUAACAAACACAUAAUGGUGAAAUAAUUAACAAUUACUACAUACCGCCCGUCAAUUACUUACAAAAAGAGAAAAAACAAUCAUUAAAACCAUAAAAACAAAAUAAACAACAACAAAAAAUAAAAAGCAAUAAGUCGUAACAAGGUAGCCGUAUCUGAAGAUGCGGCUAAAAA